UACGUAGGGGCAAGCGUUGUCCGGAAUCAUUGGGCGUAAAGCGCGUGUAGGUCGGUGGCUAAGUUCCGCUCGUGAAACGCCCGGGACUCAAACCCGGGAGGCGGGUGGGAAUACAUGGUCAGCUCGAGUCCGGGAAGAGGGAGUGUGGAAUUCCUGGUGUAAGCGGUGAAAUGCGCAGAUAUCAGGAGGAACACCAUGGCGAAGGCAGCACUCGUGGGACGGUACU
rnacentral:rRNA from 1 species